CCCUUAGAUGUUCUGGGCCGCACGCGCGCUACACUGAUGCAUUCAACGAGUUUUACCUUGGCCGAGAGGCCUGGGCAAUCUUUUAAACCUGCAUCGUGAUAGGGAUAGAUUAUUGCAAUUAUUAAUCUUGAACGAGGAAUUCCUAGUAAACGCGAAUCAUCAAUUCGCAUUGAUUACGUCCCUGCCCUUUGUACACACCGCCCGUCGCUCCUACCGAUUGAGUGGUCCGGUGAGGCUUUGGGAUCUGAGCGGAAAGAGCGUUUCGCUGUUUCUGCUCGGAAAACUCAGUCGAACCUUAUCAUUUAGAGGAAGGAGAAGUCGUAACA
rnacentral:rRNA from 1 species